GACGUAGGGUGCGAGCGUUGUCCGGAAUUAUUGGGCGUAAAGAGCUCGUAGGCGGUCUGUCGCGUCGGUCGUGAAAACUUGGGGCUUAACCCUGAGCUUGCGGUCGAUACGGGCAUGACUGGAGUUCGGCAGGGGAGACUGGAAUUCCUGGUGUAGCGGUGAAAUGCGCAGAUAUCAGGAGGAACACCGGUGGCGAAGGCGGGUCUCUGGGCCGAUACUGACGCUGAGGAGCGAAAGCGUGGGGAGCAAACAGG
rnacentral:rRNA from 1 species